UACGUAGGGGGCAAGCGUUGUCCGGAAUCAUUGGGCGUAAAGCGCGUGUAGGCGGCUCGGAAAGUCGGAUGUGAAAGCCCUGGGCUUAACCUAGGAAGUGCAUUCGAAACUCCCGAGCUUGAGUUCUGGAGAGGAAGGCGGAAUUCUCGGUGUAGAGGUGAAAUUCGUAGAUAUCGAGAGGAACACCGGUGGCGAAGGCGGCCUUCUGGACAGUGACUGACGCUGAGACGCGAAAGCGUGGGGAGCAAACAGG
rnacentral:rRNA from 1 species